AACGAACGCUGGCGGCAUGCCUAACACAUGCAAGUCGAACGAACCCUUCGGGGUUAGUGGCGCACGGGUGCGUAACGCGUGGGAAUCUGCCCUUUGCUUCGGAAUAACUCAGGGAAACUUGUGCUAAUACCGGAUGAUGUCGAAAGACCAAAGAUUUAUCGGCAAGGGAUGAGCCCGCGUAGGAUUAGGUAGUUGGUGGGGUAAAGGCCUACCAAGCCGACGAUCCUUAGCUGGUCUGAGAGGAUGAUCAGCCACACUGGGACUGAGACACGGCCCAGACUCCUACGGGAGGCAGCAGUGGGGAAUAUUGGACAAUGGGCGAAAGCCUGAUCCAGCAAUGCCGCGUGAGUGAUGAAGGCCUUAGGGUCGUAAAGCUCUUUUACCAGGGAUGAUAAUGACAGUACCUGGAGAAUAAGCUCCGGCUAACUCCGUGCCAGCAGCCGCGGUAAUACGGAGGGAGCUAGCGUUGUUCGGAAUUACUGGGCGUAAAGCGUACGUAGGCGGUUAUUCAAGUCAGAGGUGAAAGCCCGGGGCUCAACCCCGGAACGGCCUUUGAAACUAGGUAGCUAGAAUCUUGGAGAGGUCAGUGGAAUUCCGAGUGUAGAGGUGAAAUUCGUAGAUAUUCGGAAGAACACCAGUGGCGAAAGCGACUGACUGGACAAGUAUUGACGCUGAGGUACGAAAGCGUGGGGAUCAAACAGGAUUAGAUACCCUGGUAGUCCACGCCGUAAACGAUGAUAACUAGCUGUCUGGGCACUUGGUGCUUAGUGGCGCAGCUAACGCAUUAAGUUAUCCNCUGGGGAGUACGGCGCAGGUUAA
rnacentral:rRNA from 1 species